UACGGAGGGGGUUAGCGUUGUUCGGAAUUACUGGGCGUAAAGCGCGCGUAGGCGGACUAGUAAGUCAGAGGUGAAAUCCCAGGGCUCAACCUUGGAACUGCCUUUGAUACUGUUAGUCUUGAGGGAGAUAGAGGUGAGCGGAACUGAUGGUGGAGCGGUGAAAUGCGUUGAUAUGUGGAAGAACACCGGUGGCGAAGGCGGUUUUCUAGCUUAUACCUGACGCUGAGGCGCGAAAGCAAGGGGAGCAAACAGG
rnacentral:misc_RNA from 1 species